AUACGAAAGGGGCUAGCGUUGUUCGGAAUUACUGGGCGUAAAGCGCGCGUAGGCGGAUUGGUCAGUUAGGGGUGAAAUCCCAGGGCUUAACCCUGGAACUGCCUCUAAUACUGCCAGUCUUGAGUUCGGGAGAGGUGAGUGGAAUUCCUAGUGUAGAGGUGAAAUUCGUAGAUAUUAGGAAGAACACCAGUGGCGAAGGCGGCUCACUGGCCCGAUACUGACGCUGAGGCGCGAAAGCGUGGGGAGCAAACAGGAUUAGAAACCCCAGUAGUCC
rnacentral:rRNA from 1 species